rnacentral:snRNA from 1 species
AUACUUACCUGGCUGGGAAGUUACCAUGAUCACGAAGGUGGUUUUCCCAGGGCAAGGCUUAUCCGUUGCACUCUGGAUGUGCUGACCCCUACGAUUUCCCCAAAUAUGGGAAACUCAACUGCAUAAUUUGUGGUAGUGGGGGACUGCAUUCGUGCUCUCCCCUG